CUAAAUGCGGAAGAGAUAAGUGCUGAAAGCAUCUAAGCACGAAACUUGCCAAGAGAUGAGUCAUCCCUGACUUUAAGUCAGUAAGGGUUGUUGUAGACUACGACGUAGAUAGGUUGGGUGUGUAAGUGUAGUGAUACAUUGAGCUAACCAAUACUAAUUGCCCGAGAGGCUUAACCAU
rnacentral:rRNA from 1 species